CUGGACCUCACACGGGGGCACCGCGCCUUCCCCCAGCCGCGCUCAGCUCCCGCGGCUUCUUUAUUCCACGUGGUGAAUCCCGCGCGGCUCCUACCGCCGAGGAACCAAUGGGCCGACCCGGGGAGAGCAGGGCGCGCAGGAGAGGGCCUGAAAGGAGCUUCCCUCUGUCCCCAGAACUUCAACACAGCCCAAGAUGCUGGAACCCAGCCCUGGACGCUAGUCCUUCUCCUGUUCAGAUCCUGAUCGGGUGCCCUUCACUGAAAACCCGUGGAGGAAGGUUUGGGCCUGGACACGAAGUCCCUAAUGAAUUUGGAACCAUGCUAGGGACAGAAAUCUCCGACUGAAUUGCACAGGUAGAGGCUGGUGACUAUCUUUUUUUUCAGUGGCACCUACUUUUACCGUCGGUGUUUUGUCAGGCCAGCAGCGCCCCAGGGAGUAAGGAAGAGGGCAGCCCCAGAUGUGGACCUCCUCACCCGCCCUGGCUGGAUUUUACGAGACUGCCUUCACCAACGUUCCAGCCAAGGACUGCCUGUGCUCGCCUUUCAUACUUCACAGCAGGUGCCCUGAGUGGGGGAAUGGAAUGGUGGUUUGGAAUGCGGGUGCUGGCCCAGGCAACCUUCCCGGAUAAAAAAAAAGGGUUAAAUACUCCCAACCGAGGCGGAGAGAGGCACCCCAGCACGCGAGGGGCACGCCCGCUUUUCGGUCAGGCAGAAAAUGAUGAUCACAGAAUCAGAAAUGUUUAAAUUCACUCGCAACCCAGAAGAGGCUUCCCCAGGAACUUAGACAUGACGUGUUGGGCAAGAGGGAGAAAGUGGCAAAAAGAACCUUGCCUUGCCCGAGGUUGGGCCUCCUGGCGGCUCCCAGCCCUGCCGGGGGAGCCCGAAGGCGUGAGGAGAAUGGCUGUCUUCAGCUCCAAACCAUUAAUAUUAAGACACAUCAGCCUCGCAUUAGUCUGCAGCAGACCAUCAACGACCAAGAACAAACACAAAAGAGAAAUAAAAUAGUUCAUCCGAAGAGUCCUACUGUGAAU
rnacentral:lncRNA from 1 species